GCGGGUAUGGUGAAACUGGCAAACACGCUGGAUUUAGGAUCCAGUGGAGCAAUCCUUGCAGGUUCAAGUCCUGUUACCCGCACCA
rnacentral:tRNA from 1 species